rnacentral:rRNA from 1 species
GCUCCUACGGGACGCAGCAGUGAGGAAUAUUGGUCAAUGGGCGCGAGCCUGAACCAGCCAAGUAGCGUGAAGGAUGACUGCCCUACGGGUUGUAAACUUCUUUUAUAAAGGAAUAAAGUGAGGCAUGUGUGCCUUUUCGUAUGUACUUUAUGAAUAAGGAUCGGCUAACUCCGUGCCAGCAGCCGCGGUAAUACGGAGGAUCCGAGCGUUAUCCGGAUUUAUUGGGUUUAAAGGGAGCGUAGAUUGGUUGUUAAGUCAGUUGUGACAGUUUUCGGCUCAACCGUAAAAUUGCAAUUGAUACUGGC